CAACUCGUGUUGCGCGCACCCGGCUGCAUUGUACUACAGACAAAAGUUCUCAAGCUUGUAAUUGUGCAGUUUUGCAAGUUUCUCAGUGUUAAGUUUAAGUCAGACAGGUGAACAUUAGUGUAGUGGGAAAGUUUGAAGGCGCCGCUGAAGGAGUCGCUAAGAGCCGAGUCCUCUCGAAGCUAUUUACCAAGUGUGGAAAAGUUAUUAUUUGGCACCCCGUGGGGUUUAAAGUUCAGCUAACAGGAGGCUAUUAGCAGGUAGCAUCGUAACCCUUUCUUUAGGUCACAAUGGCAGCUGUGUGCCAGCCGCGACGUGCCUUGGUGGAAAUACCCACACCGCAGCCUAAAAUUGCAGCUCGGAUGAGGAGGUCCUACUUAGAAAUCCUAAGUGCUCGUUUGACCCCAUCGUCACCUCCGAGACGGAGAAACGCGGUUACAAGCACGAAGCGUGUGCAUCCCUUGGAUUUGUCCAUUGGUGGAGUCUGGAGAGGACGGGUGGAGGAGCAGUGUGACAAGAUGGACGAACAACAGACACCACUCUCCAAACAGCAGCUUGUGCAGCUAAUCAGGUCCCUCAUCCUAGUUGAACAGAGCCAAGAGCCCAGGAUCAUGGCGUCAGACCUCAAGUAUCUCCAGGAAGACCUUCAGCUGAAGAAGGCAAACGUCUACAGGUCCAUUCCUUACUCGAGGUUUGGCUCCAACAGAGACGCUCACUGCUACAGAAAGGCCUAUCCCCACCUGCUGGCAUUCAAAGUCUCCUGUCAGGAGUGGGGCCAGGUUCUUCUAAGGAACAAAGAGUGGGACGCCGUGUUGGAGCACUCGCUGAUGGCGUGGCGAUACACGAGUGAGCUGCCGCAGUGGGACACCGCCAGUCACAAUGCUCUGCGAGAACAGUGUUACAGCAUUUUGGCUGCUCACAGCCUCACCGCUCUGCAGCACUACUGCCCUGAACCCAGCAGAGGACGUGAGCUGCUGAGAAGGUUAAAGGCGGCUCAGCUAAACAGCCAGUCAUUCGUCCCCUGCAUCCAUGAGUUGCAGAGGAUUAUGGGAUGUGCUGAUGACUCGUCCAUGGAUACAAAAUGAUUUUUUUCAAGCUCGCAUUCAAGGAAAUGUGUGCUUUAGAGAAGUAAUUGUGUGAUAAUGGGCCAAAUAUAUUUACACUGUACUGUUUGUGUGGAGGAAGAAAAAAAAUGCUACUGUGUUCUUCCAAAGGGCGCACAAGAACAAGUGCAAGACUAACAAGUGCCACAUAAUGCAAAAUGGAAGACGCGAUGAAAGCCACCCGUGUUUAAUCCAGCUACAUGUCAUCAUAUAAGAAGGAUUGUAUUA
rnacentral:lncRNA from 1 species